rnacentral:rRNA from 1 species
AUCGUAACAAGGUCUCCGUUGGUGAACCAGCGGAGGGAUCAUUGCUGGAACGCGCUUCGGCGCACCCAGAAACCCUUUGUGAACUUAUACCUAUUGUUGCCUCGGCGUAGGCCGGCCUCUUCACUGAGGCCCCCUGGAAACAGGGAGCAGCCCGCCGGCGGCCAACCAAACUCUUGUUUCUACAGUGAAUCUCUGAGUAAAAAACAUAAAUGAAUCAAAACUUUCAACAACGGAUCUCUUGGUUCUGGCAUCGAUGAAGAACGCAGCGAAAUGCGAUAAGUAAUGUGAAUUGCAGAAUUCAGUGAAUCAUCGAAUCUUUGAACGCACAUUGCGCCCUCUGGUAUUCCGGAGGGCAUGCCUGUUCGAGCGUCAUUUCAACCCUCAAGCCUGGCUUGGUGAUGGGGCACUGCCUGUAAAAGGGCAGGCCCUGAAAUCUAGUGGCGAGCUCGCCAGGACCCCGAGCGUAGUAGUUAUAUCUCGCUCUGGAAGGCCCUGGCGGUGCCCUGCCGUUAAACCCCCAACUUCUGAAAAUUUGACCUCGGAUCAG